UGGGGGAAUAUUGGACAAUGGGCGCAAGCCUGAUCCAGCCAUGCCGCGUGAGUGAUGAAGGCCCUAGGGUUGUAAAGCUCUUUCACCGGUGAAAGAUAAUGACGGUAACCGGAGGAAGAAGCCCCGGCUAACUUCGUGCCAGCAGCCGCGGUAAUACGAAGGGGGCUAGCGUUGUUCGGAUUUACUGGGCGUAAAGCGCACGUAGGCGGACUUUUAAGUCAGGGGUGAAAUCCCGGGGCUCAACCCCGGAACUGCCUUUGAUACUGGAAGUCUUGAGUAUGGUAGAGGUUGGAGUGGAAUUGCCGAGUGGUAGAGGUGAAAUUCGUAGAUAUUCGGAGGAACACCAGUGGCGAAGGCGGCUCACUGGACCAUUACUGACGCUGAGGUGCGAAAGCGUGGGGGAGCAAACAGGAUUAGAUA
rnacentral:rRNA from 1 species